GACGAACGCUGGCGGCGUGCUUAACACAUGCAAGUCGAACGGAAAGGCCCUGCUUUUGUGGGGUGCUCGAGUGGCGAACGGGUGAGUAACACGUGAGUAACCUGCCCUUGACUUUGGGAUAACUUCAGGAAACUGGGGCUAAUACCGGAUAGGAGCUCCUGCUGCAUGGUGGGGGUUGGAAAGUUUCGGCGGUUGGGGAUGGACUCGCGGCUUAUCAGCUUGUUGGUGGGGUAGUGGCUUACCAAGGCUUUGACGGAUAGCCGGCCUUGGAGGGUGACCGGCCACAUUGGGACUGAGAUACGGCCCAGACUCCUACGGGAGGCAGCAGUGGGGAAUAUUGCACAAUGGGCGGAAGCCUGAUGCAGCAACGCCGCGUGCGGGAUGACGGCCUUCGGGUUGUAAACCGCUUUCGCCUGUGACGAAGCGUGAGUGACGGUAAUGGGUAAAGAAGCACCGGCUAACUACGUG
rnacentral:rRNA from 1 species